GACACUAAUACGUUGCAAAAUGCGGGUUGCGUCAAGUCAGACCAGGGGCCCUGGUUAAAAUCAAUAGUCUCCGACACUUCCUGCCUAUAUGUUUCAAAUUCGCCGGCACGAAUCAACACGGUUGUAACUUAAUAUAUGAUACUCUCGAUGAUGAAGACUUUCACGACACGCAUGUUAAUUUAGAUGAUUCGAAAAAGAUUCGCUCGAUCAAGAUGAAUAUAUUUUCUGAAAAAUCAACUGUAGAUGUUGCUCAACAAUUUUUCAUUCGAUACGCGGAAACAGAAGAAAAUCUUGUUAACGCCCAGCAGCGCGACGACGAGAUUUCGGAGCGCAGAGGGUAGAAAUUGAACCCGCGUUGAAGAGAAAGAAGGCGAAGAUACUGUAAAAAGUACAAUACAAGAAACGCUAGAAUGGAGCUAAUUUAUCGCAAUUUAUCGAGCCACCCGGUGCUACUCGCUCGUCAUAUCGUCAUUGCACGUAGAUAAAAAUAAUGAUGUUCCUUUUCUUCGGCGCAAAAGUAACAGUCACGUA